UACAGAGGUCUCAAGCGUUGUUCGGAUUCAUUGGGCGUAAAGGGUGCGUAGGCGGCCUGACAAGUCUGAUGUGAAAUCCCUGGGCUCAACCCAGGGCCUGCAUCGGAAACUGUCGGGCUUGAGUAUGGGAGAGGUGAGUGGAAUUUCCGGUGUAGCGGUGAAAUGCGUAGAUAUUGGGAAGAACACCGGUGGCGAAGGCGGCUCUCUGGACCGUAACUGACGCUGAGGCGCGAAAGCGUGGGGAGCAAACAGG
rnacentral:rRNA from 1 species